GAUCAUGGCUCAGAACGAACGCUGGCGGCAGGCUUAACAUAUGCAAGUCGAGCGAGGCCUUCGGGUCUAGCGGCGGACGGGUGAGUAACGCGUGGGAACGUGCCCUUCUCUACGGAAUAGCCCCGGGAAACUGGGAGUAAUACCGUAUACGCCCUUUGGGGAAAGAUUUAUCGGAGAAGGAUCGGCCCGCGUUGGAUUAGGUAGUUGGUGGGGUAAUGGCCCACCAAGCCGACGAUCCAUAGCUGGUUUGAGAGGAUGAU
rnacentral:rRNA from 1 species